rnacentral:rRNA from 1 species
UACGUAGGGCGCAAGCGUUGUCCGGAAUUAUUGGGCGUAAAGAGCUCGUAGGCGGCUUGUCACGUCGGGUGUGAAAGCCCGGGGCUUAACCCCGGGUCUGCAUUCGAUACGGGCAGGCUAGAGUGUGGUAGGGGAGAUCGGAAUUCCUGGUGUAGCGGUGAAAUGCGCAGAGAUCGGGAGGAACACCCGUAGCGAAGGCGGCACUCUGGGCCGGUACUGACGCUGAGGAGCGAAAGCGUGGGGAGCGAACAGG